AUUGAACGCUGGCGGCAGGCUUAACACAUGCAAGUCGAGCGGAGAUGAGGUGCUUGCACCUUAUCUUAGCGGCGGACGGGUGAGUAAUGCUUAGGAAUCUGCCUAUUAGUGGGGGACAACAUUCCGGAAGGAAUGCUAAUACCGCAUACGCCCUACGGGGGAAAGCAGGGGAUCUUCGGACCUUGCGCUAAUAGAUGAGCCUAAGUCGGAUUAGCUAGUUGGUGGGGUAAAGGCCGACCAAGGCGACGAUCUGGAGCGGGUCUGAGAGGAUGGACCGCACCACGUGGACUGGUCCCCGGCCCAGACUCAUACGGGAGGCAGCAGUGGGGAAUAUUGGACAAUGGGCGCAAGCCUGAUCCAGCCAUGCCGCGUGUGUGAAGAAGGCCUUUUGGUUGUAAAGCACUUUAAGCGAGGGGGAGGCUCCUUUAGUUAAUACCUAAAGAGAGUGGACGUUACUCGCAGAAUAAGCACCGGCUAACUCUGUGCCAGCCGCCGCCGUAACAC
rnacentral:rRNA from 1 species